CUCCUAGUGUUGGAGCGACUGUCUGAACAAAAUGCAGUGAGUGUUUCUUUGUCACUGGGGCAUGAAAGCAGCUUGUCCCUGGCUCCAGGAGAAAGCUAGCAUUUGCAGAUUGAUGACUGGUGUCUGCUUUUCUCCCCCUUUACUGCAAGAGUACUGUGAAGAAUAUGUCAAGUUUAAUCAGCAAGUGAGUUGUCCAGGCCACUGGAUUCUGAAGUGAACUUUGGAAGAACAUGAUACUGAAGGGUAUCAAUGUUAUUGAAGAGUGACAGUGUGCAGCUCUGGGAUACUGACUAUUUUGAAAUGAAUGCACUUGAAAAAUAGCAGGUGCAAGAAGACCACUCCUUCUGUUUCUAAAGAGCGGGAGAUGAAACUCCUAAGUCAAAGAUGCCCUCCCUGUACCAGAAGGAAAGUAUUAAUUUUAUCAUCAAAGGAGAUGGAAAAUAAAGGCUGAGAGAAAUUUUGCAAAUAAACCUUGUAAGUUUGAUCUUCAUUUUUCUAGCCACUUCUCCAUCUAAUUAAC
rnacentral:lncRNA from 1 species